UGUUGGAUGGCCUGUGUGGCUCUCCCUGAUUCUGUGGGUGGCUCUCCCUGAUUCUGAUUCUCCCUGAGUGUGUGGGCUGAGCUCACACCACAGCAGACUAGGAAGCUAGACUACAAUAGGUUUGGUUGAAGGACUACCCUAAUGAUCAUCCAUCAGCCAGACCCUACCCCAUACAUUUCCCACAGUUUCCAAAGUAGUGCCAUAAAUGAAGGACCCAGUGUUAAAAACAGGAGCCUGCGGGAGACAUUUCAGACUAAAGCCAUUACUGGGCUUUCCCCAUCCUUUCCUUCCCUAUGCUUCUAAGAACAGACACACAUACACACAGACACACAUACACAGACAUACACAGACACACACAGAUACACACACAUACACAUCACACUAUACAUACCACAUACACACCACAAAUAUACCACACCACACUACACACACACACACACACACACACACACACACACUCACACAUCAUACCACACACACCACUUACCACACGAACCAUAUACCAUGCACACCACAAACACACCACACCCACACCAUACCAUACAUACACAUACACACAAUGUGCACACCUAUUCAGACAUGUGAAUACACAGACAUGCGCACACACAUACCACAUACAGAUGACACAUACACACACAUACACAUGCACUCGUGCACGCACAUACACAUACACACACACCCCUGGGUGAGUAUACAUGCAUAAAGAUGCAAUGAUCUUGGAGAUGACUCUGGAAGCUUGUCUGGCUUAGAGUGUGUUCUGCAAAUUCGACCCCAAGUGAAAGUAAAAUUGAAGUAAUGAUCAAUCACUUAGUGACUCUAGUGUGUCCCAACCCAGUGUUCCAGACCAGGAAGUUUUGGUUGCUAAUGUCUCCUGAAGGGUGGGAAUGGACAAACAACUGGCCGUUCACAUUUGGUUGUUACUAUUGCUGCCUCAGAGAAGGUGACCCAGAAAUCAAACUUGAUGGCUAUAUGGGUUACAUAGUGAAAUCAUUAUCAGUGUAUCCACCGUAACAGACAUCCUGUUUAGAAAGGAGAAAUAUAUUUUUAAAUUUCUCUGACAGACAUCCAGUGUGUUUAAACAAAGAGGAUCAAGACAAGCCUCCACAGCAUGGUCUGGGUAUUCUUUGGGAGGUACAAAAACUCACCUCAGUAGGUAACAGCCAGCAGGCUGCCUUCAAAUGGCUGUGUUAAGACGGGAAUCAGUUUCUUUGGGGGAGGUGGGCAAGAUGGAAGUAAGGGAAGACACCCCAGUUUUUAAACCAGGCAACUCAGUUUAGAGAUAGAUGUACCUUUUAUGAAAAUAAAUAAAGGAAAUACAGUGCAUUGUCAGCUGACUGUCUCAAAUUAACAAUGCAGACAGCUCAUCUUGGGUAGUUGUUCUGCUAUGAUGGGGGGGUACCUGGAUACCAGCUUGUAACUGGAAUUGUCUGGGGUGCACAUGAGGCUGGCUCUGCUGUUUAAGGCCUCUCUGGAUCCUGGUAGCAUGUCUGCCAGGAGUCAGAGUACAUUAACAUCCUUUGCCUCCAUGUCACAUCGGUCUGUGCCCAUUAUUUUGCCAAGCAGGGACACCUGGACAGGAGGCUCUAUUUUUCUUUCCAUGGCCCCUGGCUUAUAAAACAAAACCAGCAAAGAGCACGUGAUCCCUCUGAGCUCUUCUGGCGUGCCUAAUGGUGUUUUUUUUUCUUUCUUUCUUUCUCCAGUGCCAGGUACUGUGAGCUGACUCUGAGUUAAAGAAAAAAAAAGGACAGGCAGCAUUUUUAUUUUUUAAUCAUCUUCUUUGUUUACAAAGUGGUGACAUUCAGUCUUGAAUCAAAGAGAACAGUUUCCAGGACUCAGGAAGCAGCGGGACGGGCCACCUUUGAUACUUAGAAGGGGCUUAAUGAGAUUUAAGGUUCAGCACCGUGACUGGAGUUCCCCACUGUAGGUGUAUUUGGUCUCACUACCUGGACACAGGGACUUCCUCUGAUGACAAAAAGGCCAGAGUUCUGCCUCAACCACAUACUGAACAUCACUAUCCCUUUGGGAGGCCAUAGACCAAGCACUUGCACACUCUACCAGAACUCCUUGGCAAUGGUAGCAAAUGGGCUCUUUGUCAGAGGUUGGAGCCGAACUGGCUGUACACUGCUGCUGGCUCACACCAAGGAAAGCUGAAGUCACCUGCAACUCCGGAGAAACAGACCCUGAACAUUGUCUGGUCAGGGUUCCCUGCUUGUCUGCCUAAGAAUUAGACCAAAAAUGCUUCCAGGUUGUCCAAUGUCCUCUCGAGAAUCAAGUCAUGCUGAAGAGUGUACAGGAUUGUUCCAGCCUCAAACUGCAGCAUGUGGCACAAUUAACUGCCAGAGGCGUCUUUGCUGUUGGAUCUUGCCCACGUCUGAAAAUCAUCUUUACUGCCUGCCAUGUGAUUACGCAAGCGACCUUUGGGUUUCUCAGUUUUUGAAAAACAAAAAAGUAUGACAAUGUACGUCACUCAUGGAAAUGUCCCACAGUGAGAUUGUGACAUUGUUAGUGAAACUGGAGAUGUGGAAGCUCAUGCUAGCUUAGGAAGAGCCCACUCCUUGCUCUGCCACAGCCUGGCUGUGUGGCCUCACCGGCGUCACUUAACGCUAUCGGGGCCUCCGCUGUCCUUUCUAUGAGAUGUGACAGGAAGGAUACUUUCAUGUUUCAAUAUUUUAGAGUUUGGGGUAUAAUACUGUUUGAUAUUAAAUAAUAUUCUUUAAA